rnacentral:tRNA from 1 species
GCCUCUGUAGCUCAGUUGGUUAGAGCGCUGCACCGGAAUCUCAGACCGUGGGUUCAAUUCCUACCAGAGGAC